CAGCCGCCGCGGUAAUACGAAGGGUGCAAGCGUUAAUCGGAAUUACUGGGCGUAAAGCGUGCGUAGGCGGUGAGUUAAGUCUGCUGUGAAAUCCCCGGGCUCAACCUGGGAAUGGCAGUGGAUACUGGCUCGCUAGAGUGUGUCAGAGGAUGGUGGAAUUCCCGGUGUAGCGGUGAAAUGUGUAGAGAUCGGGAGGAAUAUCAGUGGCGAAGGCGGCCAUCUGGGACAACACUGACGCUGAGGCACGAAAGCGUGGGGAGCAAACAGGAUUAGAUACCCGCGUAGUCCCUGUCUCUUAUAC
rnacentral:rRNA from 1 species